UACGCGGGAUGGGCAGCCGCCCGGUUUCGGCCGGGAGGAAAGUCCGGUCUCCACAGGGCAGCGUGCCGGCUAACGGCCGGGGGGAUUCGCUCAAAGCGAAUUUCACGGAAAGUGCCACAGAAAACAUACCGCCUGAUGAAGGUAAGGGUGAAAAGGUGCGGUAAGAGCGCACCGCGGACGGAGCAAUCCGUUCCGGCAGGGCAAACCCCACGCGGAGCAAGACCAAAUAGGGGAGGAGGAGUGGCCCGCUCCGUUCGACUUCCGGGUAGGUUGCUGGAGCGCGUCAGUAAUGGCGCGCCUAGAGGAAUGGCUGCCGCCUCUUGCGAGGUACAGAAACCGGCUUACAGAUCCCGCGUAUUCC
rnacentral:RNase_P_RNA from 1 species